GACGAACGCUGGCGGCGUGCCUAAUACAUGCGAGUAGAACGCUGAAGAGAGGAGCUUCCUCUUCUUGGAUGAGUUGCGAACGGGUGAGUAACGCGUAGGUAACCUGCCUUGUAGCGGGGGAUAACUAUUGGAAACGAUAGCUAAUACCGCAUAACAAUGGAUGACACAUGUCAUUUAUUUGAAAGGGGCAAUUGCUCCACUACAAGAUGGACCUGCGUUGUAUUAGCUAGUAGGUGAGGUAAUGGCUCACCUAGGCGACGAUACAUAGCCGACCUGAGAGGGUGGUCGGCCACACUGGGACUGAGACACGGCCCAGACUCCUACGGGAGGCAGCAGUAGGGAAUCUUCGGCAAUGGGGGCAACCCUGACCGAGCAACGCCGCGGGAGUGAAGAAGGUUUUCGGAUCGUAAAGCUCUGUUGUAAGUCAAGAACGGGUGUGAGAGUGGAAAGUUCACACUGUGACGGUAGCUUAACAGAAAGGGACGGCUAACUACGUG
rnacentral:rRNA from 1 species